rnacentral:rRNA from 1 species
CACGUAGGGUGCGAGCGUUGUCCGGAAUUAUUGGGCGUAAAGAGCUCGUAGGCGGUGUGUCGCGUCGGCCGUGAAAACCUGCAGCUUAACUGUGGGCUUGCGGUCGAUACGGGCAUCACUGGAGUUCGGCAGGGGAGACUGGAAUUCCUGGUGUAGCGGUGAAAUGCGCAGAUAUCAGGAGGAACACCAAUGGCGAAGGCAGAUCUCUGGGCCGUAACUGACGCUGAGGAGCGAAAGCAUGGGGGAGCGAACAGG